rnacentral:rRNA from 1 species
GGAAUAUUGGUCAAUGGGCGCAAGCCUGAACCAGCGACGCCGCGUGCGGGAUGAAGGGGCUUUGCCUCGUAAACCGCUGUCGGAUGGGACGAAAGAUAGCUUUGAGCUAUUGGGACGGUACCAUCAAAGGAAGGAUCGGCUAACUACGUGCCAGCAGCCGCGGUAAUACGUAGGAUCCGAGCGUUGUCCGGAGUUACUGGGUGUAAAGGGUGCGUAGGCUGUUCUGUGCGUCAGAGGUGAAAUCCACGGGCUUAACUCGUGGGGUGCCUUUGAUACGGCAGGGCUUGAGUACGAGAGAGGUGCGUGGAAUUCCUGGUGUAGCAGUGAAAUGCGUAGAUAUCAGGAGGAACACCGGUGGCGAAGGCGGCGCACUGGCUCGUAACUGACGCUGAGGCACGAAAGCGUGGGGAUCAAACAGGAUUAGAUACCCUGGUAGUCCACGCCUUAAACGAUGCAUGCUUGGUGUUGGUCUCGCAAGAGAUCAGUGCCGUAGUUAACAUGAUAAGCAUGCCACCUGGGGAGUACGAUCGCAAGGUUGAAACUCAAAGGAAUUGACGG